UACGGCAACAUCAUGUUGAAACACCGGUUCCCGUACGAUCACCGAAGUUAAGCAAAGACGAUCCUGGUCAGCACGUAGAUGGGUGACCUCUUGCGACGAUCAAAUGCUGUAA